rnacentral:rRNA from 1 species
GGACCCGCACAAGCGGUGGAGCAUGUGGUUUAAUUCGAUGCAACGCGAAAAACCUUACCUACACUUGACAUACUUCGAAUCUUUUAGAGAUAAAAGAGUGCCUUCGGGAAUGAAGAUACAGGUGCUGCAUGGCUGUCGUCAGCUCGUGUCGUGAGAUGUUGGGUUAAGUCCUAUAACGAGCGCAACCCUUACCCCUUAUUUUGCCAGCGGUUCGGCCGGGAACUAUAAGGGAACUGCCGGUAAUAAGCCGGAGGAAGGUGGGACGACGUCAAGGUCAUCAUGGCCCUUACGUGUAGGGCUACACACGUGCUACAAUGGGAGAUACAAACGGUCGCUAAAGCGCGAGCUGGAGC